GACAGAGGUGCCGAGCGUUAGGCGGAAUCACUGGGCUUAAAGCGUGUGUAGGUGGAUGCCUAAGUACCUUGUGAAAUCCCACGGCUCAACCGUGGAAGUGCACUCGAAACUGCGUAGCUAGAGUCCUGGAGAGGAAGGUGGAAUGCUUGGUGUAGAGGUGAAAUUCGUAGAUAUCAAGCGGAACACCGGUGGCGAAGGCGGCCUUCUGGACAGUGACUGACGCUGAGACGCGAAAGCGUGGGGAGCAAACAGG
rnacentral:rRNA from 1 species